GACGAACCGUGCGAACGUUAUUCGGAAUCACUGGGCUUAAAGCGCGUGUAGGCGGGCCGGCACGUCGGUCGCUGAAAUCCCCCGGCUCAACCGGGGAAGGGGCGCCGAUACGACCGGCCUGGAGGGGCGUAGGGGGACCUGGAACUUCCGGUGGAGCGGUGAAAUGCGUAGAUAUCGGAAGGAACACCGGUGGCGAAAGCGGCGCGCUGGACCUCUUCUGACGCUGAGGCGCGAAAGCCAGGGGAGCAAACGGG
rnacentral:rRNA from 1 species